GUUUGGGGCGGGCAGUCUGCAUUUUUUUCAAGCUCUCAUUAUGCUGCACCAGUAUCUCCAGAUGUUGUUUCCAGAGAGCUAAGCUGCUUUCUAAUUAAAACUGCGAAGAGCAAUGGAGAGUUUAGACAAUGACCAUGCUUCCUCGGACUCUUCCCUGCCACCCUCUGCUGCCUUUGAGGAGUAUGCUAUGCCAGAUGGCAUCAUAACCCGUCGCUUGAGAGACCGGGAGUUGCUCAGGAAAAGAAAAGCAGAAGCCCUGGAGAAAGACUCAGCUCACUGGGUUCUGAGAGACUAUAAGAUCAAACAGCAAAGGAGAGCCCGAAGAGCCAAAAGAGGACGGGGCCAACAGAGGGUGGUGAAGGCUGUCCUGGAGUCAGAGCCAGCAGUGGACCCCCCCACCUGACCCACAGGAGAAGGCUGAGCCAGUGCCCUCUGAGCCAGCACUGCCUGAACCCGUGUAUCAACAGCAGCCACCUACGCUGACCGUCCAGAACAAGGUCGGUGGGAUUCAACCAGUGGCAAAGGAAGGGGAGCUGACAGACAGGAGCUUGGACCCUGCUGGUGAAGAGGAUGUGCUGAAACCAGCAGAAGAAGAUAUACUAGAAGAGUUGAAUACUCCUCUGGAAAAUGACCACCAGGAUAACGAAUUCAACACACAUGUUCUGUAUUAACUUUCUGAUUGGGGAUAUUUUUUAUUUUGACUCUUGUCUCACCAACUUGAAUAAGUAUGACACAGUGAUUUUGAGCAGCUGCUUUCUUGGGAGUCAUAAAGCCCAUACUCUUUGUCACUCUGCUUUCUAUGCUUCUUCCAGCCUAGAGAGGCAGCCCUUAGGAAGUUGCCUGUGGUUCAUAAGCUCCCUGCUUUCUCUGCAAACUGGCUGUUUUGCUUGGGCCCAUGGAAGCCUUCACAGUGCUCUGCCACAGUACAGUCCAGUCGUACAGUCCAGCAUCCACCUGUGUUUCUGAGAGUCAUUUCUUAUUUGUAUAAAUGUGAGUGGCAUUGCAAAGCUAACACCUACUGUGAUUUUUAGCUGGCUGGAGAAGCCCAGCUUGGGCUAUUUACUGCACCCUGUAAACUCCACCACUCUUUGCGCUAUUAUUUUUAGUCUGAAAGUUCUUCCCGUAGCCUGUUUUCCUCUGCAAUAAACAUCUUGAUUUCCUAA